ACCUAUGGCCAGACCGGACUGAUUGCACCCUAUCCUGUCUGAUCUCGGAAGCUAAGCAGUCCCAGGCCUGGCUAGUACCUGGAUGGGAGAUUGCUUGGGAAUCCCAGGUGCUGUAGGCG
rnacentral:rRNA from 1 species